ensembl:lncRNA
AAAAACUAGUCUCAUCGUUUGGGGAAAGUUAUGACUCAAGUGGUAAUUGUUCAAUGUGGUUUAUGCAGACGCAAAGUAAACGUGCUUGCGUUUGGCAAGUGGUUCAAAAAGCAUCUCGGAACACAGGUGAUCGUAGAGCUGAGAGAGAGACCGGAUUGCUCUGCCAAAGCUCGGCGAGGACUCACCUUGUCCCUGCAGCUGUUCAGGGUCCUCCACCCCACCUCCGUCCUACCUGUCCCAGGGUAGCCCCUCGAUGACAUCACACAGAGUGACCCCAAUUCCGUCCUAGCUGGCCCAGGGAGCCUGCUCCUGCGCCAGUGGAAACUGUCUCUCGUUGUGAGGUGUUUGUGUGAAGAGGCUUGUGGAUUGGUAGUAGUACUGCUAUGACCAGGCUACUUAUAUUUGCAUACACACUGAGUUAAACUGCAUAGCGUGAUGGAGGAUCUUCCCGCAACCAAACGGUCAGGUUAAAUUACCUUGACUUUCAUAACUUUGUUGCAACUGUGGGGUAAAUGCAUGUGUUACAAAAUAUUGAGCCUUCCUGUGAUGAAUACGCAACACUUGAUCACAUUGGUUUACUUAAAGUGUCUGAUAUUUGCCUAGAAGAAUAUAUUUGCUACAACAGGCCUAUAUUUUCUUCUAUUUAUUUUCGACAGAAAAUCACAGGAAAACAAACUCCUUCCUAGGGUUGAUCAGGCAUUAAGUUUCCCUAGACCUUGAGUUCUCUGUCUGUUUAUUAUGGAGGCCAGUCUCAAAGAAUAUGAGCAGCACAGUGGGAUCGUUUACAUAUUAUAGGGGUGCACAACAACCCUAGAACUAAACAUAAAAGCAAUAUUUUUAAGGUGAUUGUCCACUUCAAACUACCAGUGUAUUCCGACUUAACUUUGAGUUAAUUGUGAUUUAAGACUAGCAAUGACUAUGACAAGUAUUGAAACAUCAGAAUCGUUUACCGCAUGCAGGGUCCCGGAUACAACACUGUUGGCAAAAUAAAUAAUUAUUUAUUUUUUUCAAAAAGAAAAUAAUUAACCAAAAAACUUAAAACAUAUAAUAGGCAUGCCAUUACCUGUAGUCCCUCCACCAGACUCUGUACUCUGCAGACCGCCAACUGCCUGAAGUCUAGCACCGUCCCA